UACGGAGGGGGCUAGCGUUGUUCGGAAUUACUGGGCGUAAAGCGCACGUAGGCGGCUUUGUAAGUUAGAGGUGAAAGCCUGGGGCUCAACUCCAGAACUGCCUUUAAGACUGCAUCGCUUGAAUCAUGGAGAGGCGGGUGGAAUUCCGAGUGUAGAGGUGAAAUUCGUAGAUAUUCGGAAGAACACCAGUGGCGAAGGCGGCCCGCUGGACAUGUAUUGAC
rnacentral:rRNA from 1 species